AUUGAACGCUGGCGGCAGGCCUAACACAUGCAAGUCGAACGGUAACAGGAAGAAGCUUGCUUCUUUGCUUACGAGUGGCGGACGUGUGAGUAAUGUCUGGGAAACUUCCUGAUGGAGGGGGAUAACUACUGGAAACGGUAGCUAAUACCGCAUAACGUCGCAAGACCAAAGAGGGGGACCUUCGGGCCUCUUGCCAUCGGAUGUGCCCAGAUGGGAUUAGCUAGUAGGUGGGGUAACGGCUCACCUAGGCGACGAUCCCUAGCUGGUCUGAGAGGAUGACCAGCCACACUGGAACUGAGACACGGUCCAGACUCCUACGGGAGGCAGCAGUGGGGAAUAUUGCCCAAUGGGCGCAAGCCUGAUGCAGCCAUGCCGCGUGUAUGAAGAAGGCCUUCGGGUUGUAAAGUACUUUCAGCGGGGAGGAAGGGAGUAAAGUUAAUACAUUUGCUCAUUGACGUUACCCGCAGAAGAAGCACCGGCUAACUCCGUG
rnacentral:rRNA from 1 species